rnacentral:rRNA from 1 species
AUUGAACGCUAGCGGCAGGCCUAACACAUGCAAGUCGAACGAGUGGCGGACGGGUGAGUAAUGUCUGGGAAACUGCCUGAUGGAGGGGGAUAACUACUGGAAAGGGUAGCUAAUACCGCAUACCAUCGGAUGUGCCCAGAUGGGAUUAGCUAGUUGGUGGGGUAAAGGCUCACCUAGGCGACGAUCCCUAGCUGGUCUGAGAGGAUGACCAGCCACACUGGGACUGAGACACGGUCCAGACGCCUACGGGAGGCAGCAGUGGGGAAUAUUGCACAAUGGGGGCAAGCCUGAUCCAGCCAUGCCGCGUGUAUGAAGAAGGCCUUCGGGUUGUAAAGUACUUUCAGCGGGGAGGCGUUACCCGCAGAAGAAGCACCGGCUAACUCCGUGCCAGCAGCCGCGGUAAUAC